UCCAGACUCCUACGGGAGGCAGCAGUGGGGAAUAUUGCACAAUGGGGGGAACCCUGAUGCAGCGACGCCGCGUGAGUGAAGAAGUAUUUCGGUACGUAAAGCUCUAUCAGCAGGGAAGAAAAAAGGACGGUACCUGACUAAGAAGCCUCGGCUAACUACGUGCCAGCAGCCGCGGUAAUACGUAGGGGGCAAGCGUUAUCCGGAAUCACUGGGUGUAAAGGGAGCGUAGACGGCAAUGCAAGCCAGAUGUGAAAGCCCGGGGCUCAACCCCGGGACUGCAUUUGGAACUGUGUAGCUGGAGUGUCGGAGAGGCAGGCGGAAUUCCUAGUGUAGCGGUGAAAUGCGUAGAUAUUAGGAGGAACACCAGUGGCGAAGGCGGCCUGCUGGACGAUGACUGACGUUGAGGCUCGAAAGCGUGGGGGGCAAACAGGAUUAGAUACCCCAGUA
rnacentral:rRNA from 1 species